AGUUGCUCCCAGCAGUGGCCCUGGGGCCAGCUCUGCUCCUUGCAUCCCGCUCCCUGCUUGGACACAGGCUCACUCGCUGCCUUCUUCUGGGAAACCAGCUUCUUGCCAGCCACAGCUGCUACUCCCACCACCAGCCACCACUCCUGUCCUGGGAAUCCCUUGUCCCAGACACCCACCUCAUUCAGUGGCUCCUCUACAGGAAAGGCGCCUGGCCUUGAGCCCUUCUGGCUCUGCUUCCCCAUCCCUCAUCCCAUACUUCUUCACGCUUCACUUUCCGCAAAACUCCAGUGCAGAAUUUCCCAGGGAGAUGGCAGUGUCCAGAAAGUGCCAGGAUUUAAGUUUACCUCAAAAA
rnacentral:lncRNA from 1 species